CCAGGUACCCCCAGUUGUCACCAGGUGAGUCCCCAGAUGCCCCCAGGUGUCCCCAGGUGUCCCCAGGUGUCUCCAGGUGUCCCCAGGUGAGUCCCCAGGUGUCCCCAGGUGAGUCCCCAGGUGUCCCCAGGUGCGUCAGUCGCCGCCGUGGGCGCGGAUGGUGCGGCGGAUCCAGGUGGUGAAGGCGCAGACGCGGCUGUACACACCUGGCUUGCCCUGCUGGCCACACACCUGCAGCCCC